rnacentral:lncRNA from 1 species
GUGUGGUUUCUGAAUUCCAAGUAUGCUGGUGUGUUACUGUAUUACAAAUGUGUAUGGCAGAAUCUAAUAAGUCUAAUGGUUACUGCAGCACAUUAAUAUUGUGUCUGUAGGUCUUGGCAACAGGUAAUAUUUUUCUAAAUGUGAGCAUCGUGUUAUGCAUGGUCAUCCUGACUGCAUCCAUGAAUUAACUUCUGGAUGUUGUGAUAUCUAGGCGCAAAUCUAUAGACAAUCUAGACAUAGGGCUCCAGAGGCAAAAGGGAGACACAACACUGUGGGAAGACUCCAUCCUGUUUUUUCCACCAUAUCCCAGGUUAACAGGAUACAGCACUGAAAGCAGUAGUACACUGAAGAGCACUAAGAGACUGAAGCAUGCCAUGGUACAGGAGGAACCGGAUAUCUUGGUGCCACUAACUCAAAGAUCAUAA